GCUAGUAUCAUAUCAUUAUGUUAUCUCUUCAUAUGGGAACUGAUUUGAUCUUAUGUUUUAGGUUAGCAUUCUUUAAGGCUGCCUAUGCGUUGUUCGAUUCUGAUUUCUAUGUUAAAGCUGAUGAUGACAUUUACUUGAGACCAGAUAGACUCUCCUUGCUCUUGGCCAAGGAACGUACACAUACACAAACAUACAUUGGAUGCAUGAAGAAGGGGCCUGUUUUUACUGAUC